rnacentral:rRNA from 1 species
UACGGAGGGUGCGAGCGUUGUCCGGAAUUACUGGGCGUAAAGAGCUCGUAGGUGGUUUGUCGCGUUGUCCGUGAAAACUCACAACUCAAUUGUGGGCGUGCGGGCGAUACGGGCAGACUGGAGUACUGCAGGGGAGACUGGAAUUCCUGGUGUAGCGGUGGAAUGCGCAGAUAUCAGGAGGAACACCGGUGGCGAAGGCGGGUCUCUGGGCAGUAACUGACGCUGAGGAGCGAAAGCGUGGGGAGCGAACAG